GACAGAGGGUGCAAACGUUGUUCGGAAUUACUGGGCGUAAAGCGCGUGUAGGCUGCUUCGCAAGUCGGAUGUGAAAGCCCUGGGCUCAACCUAGGAAGUGCAUUCGAAACUGCGAAGCUUGAGUCCUGGAGAGGAAGGCGGAAUUCUCGGUGUAGGGGUGAAAUGCGCAGAUAUCAGGAGGAACACCAAUGGCGAAGGCAGCUCGCUGGGACGGUACUGGCACUGAGACGCGAAAGCGUGGGGAGCAAACAGG
rnacentral:rRNA from 1 species